ACAAUGUAACUGCCGCUGAAUGGGCUUUGUGCCCGAGUUUCUUGGAGACAAACUACGUGUUGGCCUUUGAUCAAGCCUUCGAUCUGACUCGAUUUUGGUCUCUCCUCGCAUGCCCUCAGGUCUGCUAUAUAGUACUCGUACGACCAGUAUUCAGAUUUUUUUGAUACAAGCAGUGGUCGAUAGAGUCAACUAAGAUAAAACUUAAAUUUCCCGCCCAAAAAAAAACUAACAUACAUAAAGAAUUUGAAUCAUCCUUCAAUAAUAACAUAAAUAGUUCUACUGAGGGCUAGUAAUUUGAUCAUUUCUGUAUUUGUCAAUGCAUUAUGGAUUCUAUGACCAGGCUCCAAAAUCAGCAAAUCCAAAAAUUGUUGAUAAUAUUACUUAGUAAGGUUACGAAUCCAUCCGCAAGACAGCUGUAAAUAGUCAUAUACCCUGACGUAUAAACUUUUUAUACGAUUAAUAAAGGAUAAGAGCAUAUUCAAAAAUCAAUUUCUACUUAAAUUUAUAGUCCUCAUGCAAAACAGAGAUGGUGAAUGUGUAUAUCACUGUGCAGAAGUAAACAAAGUAUGCAAGCAUGAUAAAACAAAGUUCAUGAUAUGUGCCAAUGAGAUUAUUAUAGAACGAACCUGCUAUAAGAAAAUGAUGCAGUGCUAAGCAGGAAGAAAAGGCCACCUAAGAUGUGAAUUUGCUGUUAUUUGAUUCAACUCUUCGGCAUGGCUCUUGAGGUUUGAAUCAGCCUAUGGCAGGCGAGUGAGCAAGUUGAUAUUGCUGUUGUAGAUAGCUGAAUCUUAUCAACAUUCUUCUUCCAUGAAUCUGAAUCUUGAGUGAGCAAGCCUAUGCCCUUAUCAACAUUCUUCUUCCAUGAAUCUGAAUCUUGAGUGAGCAAGCCUAUGCCCUUAUCAACAUUCUUCUUCCAUGAAUCUGAAUCUUGAGUGAGCAAGCCUAUGCCCUUAUCAACAUUCUUCUUCCAUGAAUCUGAAUCUUGAGUGAGCAAGCCUAUGCCCUUAUCAACAUUCUUCUUCCAUGAAUCUGAAUCUUGAGUGAGCAAGCCUAUGCCCUUAUCAACAUUCUUCUUCCAUGAAUCUGAAUCUUGAGUGAGCAAGCCUAUGCCCUUAUCAACAUUCUUCUUCCAUGAAUCUGAAUCUUGAGUGAGCAAGCCUAUGCCCUUAUCAACAUUCUUCUUCCAUGAAUCUGAAUCUUGAGUGAGCAAGCCUAUGCCCUUAUCAACAUUCUUCUUCCAUGAAUCUGAAUCUUGAGUGAGCAAGCCUAUGCCCUUAUCAACAUUCUUCUUCCAUGAAUCUGAAUCUUUCGGUCGAAGAUAUUGAUAGGAAUGCACAUAGAAGUAAUACGGUACUGCAUGUUCUAAAGGCAAAUAUUAAUUUUGUAAAGUACCUUAGCAAUUCUGCUUUUGCUAACUUUG
rnacentral:lncRNA from 1 species